UAGUGCGGUGUUGGGAUAUAUAUUCCCCUGCAGCCAAACAAAACCGACUUCUUUAGCAUUGUUCGUCUUCAGUUAAUGGGCCAGGUCAAAGCCCAUUUAAUUUAAUUCAAUCAAACUUCCCUUACCCCUUCUCUCUGUGGCUCUAAUCAAACUAUUGUCUCAGUCACAGGAGACUGCUACUUGAUGACUCCAGAGGUGUAGCGGAGGCUCUAAACGAGACACUGUGUGUUCAAGACAAGUUUACUGGACUAACUGUCCAAGGCAAAUAUUACGAUAUAAUUGAUCCAUAUGGAGAAGGUACAAAAUGGGCGGAGAAGAGAUCUAUUCACCACUCACUCCUCUUGGUCUUUGCUCAACAGGAUGAUGGUAAGACGAUGAGUUUUGGUGCAGCACCAAAUACGACCUCAAUUCAAUUAUAAUUCAAAAAAACUACCCGAACUUCUUAAAACGUGCCUAAAUCUACAUUGACUCUAACAGAAGUUAGUCAACCGUUAACAAGAUAAAACGACGUUGUUUUGAAAUACGAGAAAAAGUGCCAAUUUCGAUCCCAACACUCUAAGUCGUGCCAAAUAAAACCCGAACAAAUGGUCAGUGCCAAAAACGACCUCAACUCAAUUAUAAUUUAAGAAAAAUUAUCCAAUUUUUCUAAAACGUGUCUAAAUCUACAUUAAUUCUAAUAUAAGUUAAUCAACCUUUAACAAAGAUAAGACGACGUUGUUUUGAUAUAUGUAUUUUUUU